rnacentral:misc_RNA from 1 species
GGCCUUCGAGCAUGUGAGCCACAUCGGAGCCAGCAUCAGCAACUUUAUGGUUUUCUGGUUUCCCUGGGUUGCCAGCCACAUCACGAUCGAGCCUGCGAUCCUUCACAUCCUUGUUGCCUUGACCGGGGUCUGGCUGAUCGUCCGCGUCUUUGAACUCUUCCUGACCGGAUGGACGAAGAAUCCUCACGACCAGCUCUUCAUCAACCGGUUUCCA